rnacentral:rRNA from 1 species
CCUACGGUGGGCAGCAGUGAGGAAUAUUGGUCAAUGGUCGGGAGACUGAACCAGCCAAGCCGCGUGAGGGAGGAAGGUACAGAGUAUCGUAAACCUCUUUUGUCAGGGAACAAAGACUGGGACGCGUCCCCGGAUGAGUGUACCUGAAGAAAAAGCGUCGGCUAACUCCGUGCCAGCAGCCGCGGUAAUACGGAGGAUCCGAGCGUUAUCCGGUUUUAUUGGGUUAAAAGGGUGGGAAGGCGGCCGGUUAAGUCAGCGGUCAAAGCCCGGGGCUCAACCCGGGCCCGCCGUUGAAACUGGCAGUCUCGAGUUGGAGAGAAGUAUGCGGAAUGCGCGGUGUAGCGGUGAAAUGCACAGAUAUCGCGCAGAACUCCGAUUGCGAAGGCAGCAUGCCGGCUCCACACUGACGCUGAGGCACGAAAGCGUGGGUAUCGAACAGGAUUAGAUACCCGUGUAGUC